rnacentral:rRNA from 2 species
AGGUGCGAUCCUACCAGCACUAAUGCACAGGAUCCCACCAGAACUCCGCAGUUAAGCGCGCUUGGGAGAGAGAAGUUCUAGGAUGAGUGACCUUCUAGGAAAUCUUCGUGUUGCACCUC